rnacentral:rRNA from 1 species
GAGGAAUAUUGCGCAAUGGAGGCAACUCUGACGCAGCCAUGCCGCGUGCAGGAAGAAGGCGCUACGCGUUGUAAACUGCUUUUAACCGGGAAGAAACCCCUCCACGUGUGGAGGGUUGACGGUACCGGAGGAAUAAGCACCGGCUAACUUCGUGCCAGCAGCCGCGGUAAUACGAAGGGUGCAAGCGUUAUCCGGAUUCAUUGGGUUUAAAGGGUGCGUAGGUGGGGCGUUAAGUCAGUGGUGAAAUCCUGCAGCUCAACUGUAGACUUGCCAUUGAUACUGGCGUUCUUGAGUGCGCUUGAAGUAGGCGGAAUGUGCCGUGUAGCGGUGAAAUGCUUAGAUAUGGCACAGAACACCAAUUGCGAAGGCAGCUUACUAAGGCGAUACUGACACUGAGGCACGAAAGCGUGGGGAUCGAAC